UACAUGGGGUGCAAACGUUGCUCGGAAUCAUUGGGCGUAAAGCGCGCGUAGGCGGUUGCUUAUGUCGGAUGUGAAAGCCCUCGGCUUAACUGAGGAAGUGCAUCCGAAACUGGGCAGCUAGAGUACGAAAGAGGGUCGCGGAAUUCCCGGUGUAGAGGUGAAAUGCGUAGAUAUCUGGAGGAACACCUGUGGCGAAGGCGGCUAUCUGGUCCAAUUCUGACGCUGAGGCGCGAAAGGUAGGGGAGCAAACAGG
rnacentral:rRNA from 1 species